UACAGGGGGUGCAAACGUUGCUCGGAAUCAUUGGGCGUAAAGCGCACGUAGGCGGUUCGUUAUGUCGGAUGUGAAAGCCCUUGGCUUAACCGAGGAAGUGCAUCCGAAACUGGCGAGCUAGAGUACUAAAGAGGAUCGCGGAAUUCCCGGUGUAGAGGUGAAAUUCGUAGAUAUCGGGAGGAACACCGGUGGCGAAGGCGGCGAUCUGGGUAGAUACUGACGCUGAGGUGCGAAAGCGUGGGGAGGCAACAAGGAGUUAGAAAUCCCCGGUAAGUACCCCAGGAC
rnacentral:rRNA from 1 species